UACGGAGGGUGCGAGCGUUAAUCGGAAUAACUGGGCGUAAAGGGUGCGUAGGUGGUUGAAUAAGUUAUCUGUAAAAUCCCCGGGCUUAACCUGGGCAGGUCAGAUAAAACUGUUUGACUCGAGUAUGGGAGAGGGUAGUGGAAUUUCCGGUGUAGCGGUGAAAUGCGUAGAGAUCGGAAGGAACACCAGUGGCGAAGGCGGCUACCUGGCCUAAUACUGACACUGAGGCACGAAAGCGUGGGGAGCAAACAGG
rnacentral:rRNA from 1 species